rnacentral:rRNA from 1 species
AACGGUCUUUUCGGAGAUAGUGGCGGACGGGUGAGUAACGCGUGAGAAUCUGGCUUCAGGUCGGGGACAACCACUGGAAACGGUGGCUAAUACCGGAUAUGCCGUAGAGGUGAAAGGCUAGCUGCCUGAAGAUGAGCUCGCGUCUGAUUAGCUAGUAGGUGUGCUAAAGGCGCACCUAGGCGACGAUCAGUAGCUGGUCUGAGAGGAUGAUCAGCCACACUGGGACUGAGACACGGCCCAGCACUCCUACGGGAGGCAGCAGUGGGGAAUUUUCCGCAAUGGGCGAAGGCCUGACGGAGCAAUACCGCGUGAGGGAGGAAGGCUCUUGGGUUGUAAACCUCUUUUCUCAGGGAAGAAAAAAAUGACGGUACCUGAGGAAUAAGCAUCGGCUAACUCCGUGCCAGCAGCCGCGGUAAUACGGAGGAUGCAAGCGUUAUCCGGAAUGAUUGGGCGUAAAGGGUCCGCAGGUGGUCAUGUAAGUCUGCUGUUAAAGA